CCACCGUCAUCAUCAACCACCACCAUCAACCACCGUCAUCAUCACUAUCAUCACCCUCCCCUACCACCAUCACCACCGUCAUCACCAACCACCACUCAUCACUACCUUAAUCAUCACCACCACCACCACCAUCACCACCAUCAUCACCACCAACCACCAUCAUCAUCACUACCACCACCACCCCCAUCACACCUCCAUUCCCCUACUUUCACCAUCAUCACCAUCAUCACCACCACCACCACCACCACUCCGGAGGUCCCAUGGCGGCAGCGCGGCGUCUCCUCCUCCUCCCUGAUGGCUGGGCUCCUUCAAUUCUCCCUCCCCAAACGAAUCACGAUCUCGAAUCACAGGAACGAAGCGAUACGAACCUCACCCAGCGCCAUUUUAUCAGCCAAGGACGGUCGAGGAAGGAAGGAAGGGACAGUUUUUCAUCCUUUAAGCCACACGGACGCUACGGACACGAGCUGGAGGGCAUGACGAAGGCGCAGCAGUGUCCCCUCGCCCUGGUGACGCCCUACGGAGCCACGGGAAGGGACGCUGAAGGAGGGAGAGGACGAGAAAAGAGGAGGAGAGCGCCUUCCUGAUACAAACAACAGCGAGGGAGUGACGUUGAGGAGCGUCUGACCUUUCUGCCCCGCCCCGCCACUGUGCCAAGGAGGGCCGAGGCUGACACAAUGCUGACCUUGGUGAUGGUGCCGUAGCCCAGGGUGAUGCCGGGGGUCAGCAGCAUGCCAUCGCUGGAGCAAGAUGACGUGGACGAGAGCAAGGCAUCGUCGUCCUCGUGCAUGUGAUGGCGGACCACUGGGGACGAACGACGCAGAUUAGGUCUUGAGGUACAGAUAAGGACCGAGACCCAACUUGCUCCUAACUCAUGUGACUGUAAUGCUAAGAUUCAACACUUAAUUUCUCCUCCUCUGAUAGCUCUUCCUUAUCCUCCCUUACUCCCUUCAAUACAGCAGGUCACUCUCCUCCCUUGCCAGUCCAUUCACACCCUCUGAUAGCCCUCCCUUAUCCUCCCUUACUCCCUUUAAUACAGCAGGUCACUCCCCUCUCUCAUUCUUACCCAAUUUACCAUAUACAAAUUCCUAACUCUUAAUGCAAUCCUCCAUAAUCCUUACAGAAGCUCUCCCUGUACUGUCAUUGCCCUUCUCCAUAUAUUAGCUCUCCCUUCUCCAUAUAUUAGCUCUCCCUUCCUGCACUCCUCUCCACAUCACACCCAAAGCAAUCUGACACUACUUCUCUGCCCCUCGCAAUGCAGUGACUAAAUAUAUCUUGUGAAUUUGAUUUUUGUUAUAAGUAAUUUCUGUAAUGUAUUCUGUUCAUUUGUAACCCGCUUCAAUAAACGUCUUUGAAGGCACACUCAA